rnacentral:rRNA from 1 species
AAUUAUAUAACUACUAUACCAUGUACGUAUACCAUAUGAUUAUAUGUUUAUAGAUUUUUUUAGAGAUUAGUACCUUUUGCAUAAUGGGUUAACAAAAUUAAUAUGUAUUUACCUUCACGAAGUAAUAAGAGCUAAUUAUAAUACUAUAGUAGUAGAAUAAAUGUAGCAUAAUAUUCUAUAAUUAUAAUUAGGGGUGAUAGGCUUUUCAAUUAUUAUGAUAACUUGAUUUUAGGGAAAAGUAUUAGUACACUGACAGUUUAAAAGUGAUUAGGCUUUUAAAUAUUACUAUUAAAUGUUAAUAAUAGAACUUGUUUUAACGGACAGGUUAAUAAUAUAAUAAUAUUAAUUUAUUAUAUAUGUAAAAACUACCUUUAAACAUUUUAAUUUAUAACGAUAUUUAUAAUGUUAAUAUUAGUAAUAAAUAGGCAUUGUUAAUGAACUCGGCAAAAUAUUUUUCAACUGUUUAUCAAAAACAUAACCAUAUGUGGGUAAUAUAUGGCAUUUUCUGCUCAAUGAUAUUUAAAUAGCCGCAGUACUCUGACUGUGCAAAGGUAGCAUAAUAAUUUGGCUUAUAAUUGAAGUCUUGUAUGAACGAAUACAUGGGGAAUAACUAUAUCAACAAUGUAAAAUGAAAUUACUAAAUACGUGCAAAUACGUAUAUUUACAUAAAAGACGAGAAGACCCUAGAAAUUUUUACUAUUUACGUUAACUGUUUUUGCUGGGGCGGCAUAGUAACAUGAAACUUACAUUAUUAUACAAGAAGUGAUAAUUUGCAGAAUGAUUAAAUUACUCUAGGGAUAACAGCAUAAUUUACUAUAGUUUGUGACCUCGAUGUUGGAUUAGGAAGUUGAAAUUUAGAAGAUUUACAAAUUCGCUCUGUUCGAGCAAUUUUAUCCUACGUGAUCUGAUCUGAGUUCAGACCGGCGCGAGCCAGGUCAGUUUCUAUCUUUAAAUAAUAAAAGAUUAGUACGAAAGGAAUAUCAAUUUUACAAUAUGU